rnacentral:rRNA from 1 species
GACGAACGCUGGCGGCGUGCUUAACACAUGCAAGUCGAACGGUAAGGCCCUUUCGGGGGUACACGAGUGGCGAGCGGGUGAGUAACACGUGAGUAACCUGCCCUUGACUCUGGGAUAACAGCCGGAAACGGUGGCUAAUACCGGAUAGUCCGCUUCUGCCGCCUGGUGGUUGUUGGAAAGCUGUUGUGGUCAAGGAUGGGCUCGCGGUCUAUCAGCUUGUUGGUGGGGUAGUGGCUCACCAAGGCGUCGACGGGUAGCCGGCCUGAGAGGGUGACCGGCCACAUUGGGACUGAGAUACGGCCCAAACUCCUACGGGAGGCAGCAGUGGGGAAUAUUGCACAAUGGACGGAAGUCUGAUGCAGCAACGCCGCGUGCGGGAUGACGGCCUUCGGGUUGUAAACCGCUUUCAUCCAUGACGAAGCGAGAGUGACGGUAGUGGGAGAAGAAGCACCGGCUAACUACGUGCCAGCAGCCGCGGUAACAC